UACGUAGGGUGCGAGCGUUAAUCGGAAUUACUGGGCGUAAAGCGUGCGCAGGCGGUUCGUUGUGUCGGUGGUGAAAGCCCCGGGCUUAACCUGGGAAUGGCCAUGGAAACUGGAGAACUGGAGUGUGGCAGAGGGGGGUGGAAUUCCGCGUGUAGCAGUGAAAUGCGUAGAGAUGCGGAGGAACACCGAUGGCGAAGGCAGCCCCCUGGGCUAGCACUGACGCUCAGGCACGAAAGCGUGGGGAGCAAACAGG
rnacentral:rRNA from 1 species